rnacentral:rRNA from 1 species
UACAGAGGUGGCAAGCGUUGUUCGGAAUUACUGGGCGUAAAGCGUGCGUAGGUGGUUCGUUAAGUCUGAUGUGAAAGCCCUGGGCUCAACCUGGGAAUGGCAUUGGAAACUGGCGACCUAGAGUGCGGUAGAGGGUAGUGGAAUUCCCGGUGUAGCAGUGAAAUGCGUAGAGAUCGGGAGGAACAUCUGUGGCGAAGGCGACUGCCUGGACCAGCACUGACACUGAGGCACGAAAGCGUGGGGAGCAAACAGG